GACGAACGCUGGCGGCGUGCUUAACACAUGCAAGUCGAACGGUAAGGCCCCUCGGGGUACACGAGUGGCGAACGGGUGAGUAACACGUGGGUGAUCUGCCCUGCACUUCGGGAUAAGCCUGGGAAACUGGGUCUAAUACCGGAUAGGACCACUGCCUGCAUGGGUGGUGGUGGAAAGCUUUUGCGGUGUGGGGUGGGCCCGCGGCCUAUGAGCUUGUUGGUAGGGUGAUGGCCUACCAAGGGGACGACGGGUAGACGGCCUGGGAGGGUGCCCGGCCACACUGGGACUGAGGUACGGCCCAGACUCCUACGGGAGGCAGCAGUGGGGAAUAUUGCACAAUGGGCGCAAGCCCGAUGCAGCGACGCCGCGUGAGGGAUGACGGCCUUCGGGUUGUAAACCUCUUUCAGCACCGACGAAGCGCAAGUGACGGUAGGUGCAGAAGAAGGACCGGCCAACUACGUGCCAGCCGCCGCAGUAA
rnacentral:rRNA from 1 species